GCAGUCGUGGCCGAGUGGUUGAGGCGAUGGAAUAGAAAUCCAUUGGGGUCUCCCCGCACAGGUUCGAAUCCUGUCGACUGCG
rnacentral:tRNA from 1 species